UGUGUAGGCGGCGCGGUAAGUCGGGUGUGAAAUCUCGGAGCUUAACUCCGAAACUGCAUUCGAUACUGCCGUGCUUGAGGACUGGAGAGGAGACUGGAAUUUACGGUGUAGCGGUGAAAUGCGUAGAUAUCGUAAGGAAGACCAGUGGCGAAGGCGGGUCUCUGGACAGUUCCUGACGCUGAGACACGAAGGCCAGGGAGCAAACG
rnacentral:rRNA from 1 species